UACGUAGGGCGCAAGCGUUAUCCGGAAUUAUUGGGCGUAAAGAGCUCGUAGGCGGUUUGUCGCGUCUGCCGUGAAAGUCCGGGGCUCAACUCCGGAUCUGCGGUGGGUACGGGCAGACUAGAGUGAUGUAGGGGGAGACUGGAAUUCCUGGUGUAGCGGUGAAAUGCGCAGAUAUCAGGAGGAACACCGGUGGCGAAGGCGGUUCUCUGGGCCUUACCUGACGCUGAGGAGCGAAAGCGUGGGGAGCAAACAGG
rnacentral:rRNA from 1 species